rnacentral:rRNA from 1 species
GACGAACGCUGGCGGCGUGCCUAAUACAUGCAAGUCGAGCGAAGUUUUUCUGGUGCUUGCACCGGAAAAACUUAGCGGCGAACGGGUGAGUAACACGUAAAGAACCUGCCUCAUAGACUGGACAACUAUUGGAAACGAUAGCUAAUACCGGAUAACAGCAUUAACUGCAUGGUUGAUGUUUAAAAGUUGGUUUUGCUAACACUAUGAGAUGGCUUUGCGGUGCAUUAGCUAGUUGGUGGGGUAAAGGCCUACCAAGGCGACGAUGCAUAGCCGACCUGAGAGGGUGAUCGGCCACACUGGGACUGAGACACGGCCCAGACUCCUACGGGAGGCAGCAGUAGGGAAUCUUCCGCAAUGGGCGAAAGCCUGACGGAGCAACGCCGCGUGAGUGAAGAAGGAUUUCGGUUCGUAAAGCUCUGUUGUUAGGGAAGAAUGAUUGUGUAGUAACUAUACACAGUAGAGACGGUACCUAACCAGAAAGCCACGGCUAACUACGUG